GACGAACGCUGGCGGCGUGCCUGACACAUGCAAGUCGGACGGUUCUUGUAUCUUCAAGCUUGCUUGCAGGUGCAAGGAUAGUGGCGGACGGGUGAGUAACGCGUGAACAUCUACCCAUUGGAGGGGGACAACCCGUCGAAAGGCGGGCUAAUACCGCGUAAGCCGCGAGGUGAGAGGCUGCCUAUUGGUGGCCGCCGAUGGAUGGGUUCGCGUCCUAUCAGCUGGUUGGUGGGGUAACGGCCUACCAAGGCGAAGACGGGUAGCCGGUCUGAGAGGAUGGCCGGCCACACUGGAACUGAGACACGGUCCAGACUCCUACGGGAGGCAGCAGUGGGGAAUAUUGGGCAAUGGGGGAGACCCUGACCCAGCGACGCCGCGUGAGGGAGUGAAGGUUUUCGGAUCGUUAAACCUACCUGUUGUACGGGAAGAAGGAUGUGACGGUACCGUACGAGAAAGCCCCGGCAAACUACGUGCAGCAGCCGCGGUAAUAUCACGUGUA
rnacentral:rRNA from 1 species